GGGUAACCUGCCCAAGAGAUCGGGAUAACACCUGGAAACAGAUGCUAAUACCGGAUAACAACAGAUGAUGCCUAUCAACUGUUUAAAAGAUGGUUCUGCUAUCACUCUUGGAUGGACCUGCGGUGCAUUAGCUAGUUGGUAGGGUAACGGCUUACCAAGGCAAUGAUGCAUAGCCGAGUUGAGAGACUGAUCGGCCACAUUGGGACUGAGACACGGCCCAAACUCCUACGGGAGGCAGCAGUA
rnacentral:rRNA from 1 species